UUACUACUCCUUCCGUCCGGAAAUACUUGUCGAAUAAAUGGAUGUAUUUAGAUGUAUUUUAGUUUUUGAUAUGUCCAUUUUUAUCGAAUCCUUCGCCGAGUAAUUCCAGACAGAGAGAGUACUAU
rnacentral:pre_miRNA from 1 species